UUGAAUCCUCCUAACUACCCAAGAUGAAAUUAAGGUCUUGAUGAUCUUCCAUGAUGAAAUUUGAGAAGAGCCCAAUAAUUUAAUGCGGAAGAGUGAGUGAAAUGGGAGAGUGGGUAAGUUGCGGCGCUGUUGAAGAGAGGAAGAGGAAUGGGGUGUGCGGCUGUUGAGGUCGCUGUGAUCAGUAUGGUCUGCUCGAUUAGGAUAAAUGUUAGCUCUUUGCUCUUUCUGGAAGCACCUAUCUGUAGCAACAUCUGUACACCGACUCUGGCAGACAAUCAAGAUUUUGUUGAAACAGAAGAAAAGAAGAGGAGGGAAACGGGAAGAAUUUCAUUGUUAUUCAAGUCAGCACGGGUGGGUGAUGUUCGAUUUGAACAGAAAUCGAGUAAAUUGAUCAUCCCAGGUACUCUACCGUGGCUUCUAAUUUGUUUCAUUUAUUCUCUGUUAGUUGGUUCCCCAAGGCUGGUGAUUGAAGCAGAGCAUAGAUACGCUUCGUAUUUGUUACAACUUGAUUGGUUGUUAUAAAUUGCAGACCACGAUCCAGGUGCAAUUUUCCUUUCCACUACAGUUAAUCAAUUCUCAGCUUUUAGUAUUACAUUUUGAUAUUUUACAUUUAACCCAGAAAGACAAAACCCGUGUAGGUAUUCAAGCUUUGUUGCCUAUAUAUGUUAUUUUUUUGUCAAAGUGGGUUCAUUUGGCUUUGUAUAUUGAAGCUUACUUGACAAAGGUUUCUGCGUUUUUACAGUUCGAGAUCUGGAAUUGUGGGUUUCAUACCUUGGUUUUGGAUAAGGAAUGCCGAAGUACAAAGAGCCAAUGGAAGAGAUGAGUUUUGCAGGCAAUGGAAGUCUUGCUUUAUAUAUAAACACGAAACCCAAACCAACAACCAAGGCCUCUCCAUUUCCAGCUUAUAAGGCUUCUGAGGUUGCUGCGGUGACAUGCUAUGAUAGUUACUUUUCCAUUUGCCCAUUUGUUGAUAACAUCCCAUGUAUUUCAACUAAUUAUCGUCUACAAGUUCGCUUCAAUUCACUGC